UACGAAGGGGGCUAGCGUUGCUCGGAAUCACUGGGCGUAAAGCGCACGUAGGCGGACUCUUAAGUCGGUGGUGAAAUCCUGGAGCUCAACUCCAGAACUGCCUUCGAUACUGAGAGUCUCGAGUCCGGGAGAGGUGAGUGGAACUCCGAGUGUAGAGGUGAAAUUCGUAGAUAUUCGGAAGAACACCAGUGGCGAAGGCGGCUCACUGGCCCGGUACUGACGCUGAGGUGCGAAAGCGUGGGGGAGCAAACAGG
rnacentral:rRNA from 1 species